CAAGAAGCCGAAAGGCUACUUCAAACCAUCGCGAACUCGUCCAGGUUGCUUCGGCGGUGCGGCUCCCCUCGGGGGGCCGCGGCGCCGCGCCUCCCCCGGAGGUGCGGGGCGCCCGCCGGAGGUCACAAACACUCGUGUAUUAUAGUGGCAUCUCUGAGUAAAACACAAACAAGUCA
rnacentral:misc_RNA from 1 species